AGUCCUGUGGCUUAGUUGGUACGAGCGUGGCACUAACAACGCCAAGGUUGUGGGUUCAAUCCCAGCAGGGAUC
rnacentral:tRNA from 1 species